UUAUUUCUGAAUUUUAUAUAUUUUUCAGAGUCUGAACUUUAUAAUUUAGAAUUAAAAUUGAUUUCAUUUUUAUUUUAUAUCAUUUAAAAGAAAGAAAGAAUAGAAAACUAUUUUAGUCUUGGGUAUAUUUUUUUGAUUCCAUCAGAAUCACAAAAACCUACAACAUUUCUAUGUAACCAAUAUGAGCAGAAAAGAAAAAGGAAAACAUUUGAGAAGAAAAUUAAAUAAAUGUAUUGUAUAUUCAGGAAUUGAUAAAUUAGUGAAUAAUCUGAAGAGAAAAAAAUCCAAAAAUCUAAACAAAAAAGAAAAGAAAUAUAAGAACUAUUUACCUAGGACCUAGUUGCUCCUAAUUUUUUUGGAUGUUGUGUAGAUUUGUGUGAACCACCGCAUGAAAAAAACCACCAAUCUUGAAGAUAAACUAAGAGAAAAAACAAUCCCAUAGACUAUCACGAGAAGAGUAAAGAAUCAUUUUCAAAAAAAAUCAAUUACCAAAUACCAAUUACCAAGUGGAAAUGCUCAGGUGUUUUUUCGAAUCAAGCUUGUUCUUCCCCCGAAAGCCCCCCAAAGAAUUCAAAAAAAGUUGACAAAUAUACCAAAGUACCUAAAAAAAACAUAAAGGGAAUGAAAAGUUUGAAGAAAGAGGGAAAUUUUAGAUUAAGAGGAACCAAAAAAAAAAAAAAGAAACAAAAAGGGAAUUAAAAUCCAGCAGUUGAAUGAUAAGGAAAAUAAAUGGAAUAAAUCAACUAUUUUUGAACUUGACUUUGCUGCUUGCCCAGCCCAGCAAGUCAGCCAGGCUUUAGUUCGAGUAGCCACGCCCACAAUCAAAUGACCGCCCCUACCCACCCACCUCUCCGGAAAUCUCCCUCUUGAGAACUAAACUAAAUUUUAGAUAUUAAAGGCAAACUUUGAAAACUUUGAGAUUUCUUCAAUUCUAAUUUCCGGGUUGAAAACUAAAUAAAAAAAAGUUAGAAAAAAAAAUUGAAGAGAUCUAGAAAGCAGUUUUCUUUUUUUUUUUUUUAUAUAAGUCUUGAUGUUGUUAUUGCUUAUAUAAGAAAUGCAAGAAAUAUAAUAAUAUAUAAUAUAUAUAGGGAUAUAUCCUUUAGAUUGUAUAUAAAAAAAACUAAAAACUAUAAUUUAUUUUUCACUCAAUUAUACUGUUUUUAUUUUCGGGUUUGUGUUGGGAAAAAAAAUGAAAUCCUAAAGAAAAGCUGAAAAAGGGCGGAUUAAAUAUAUUUAAAUAUUAAAUAUAUCCUUGUAAACCUAUUCUGUCAUUUAAAAAAGUCGCUGGACGACGAAGAAAAUAAAAAAUGGAAUGAGAGAAGAUAAUAUAAAAUAUAAAUAAAAAAACUAUAACAUUUUUUUAUUAUUAAAAGCAUACAAAUAAAAAAAGAUAAUCAGAAUUAAAAAAUGGAAUGAUUUAAUGGGCCGAUGCUUGCUAAAUAAAUGAUUAUAAGAAUAUAAAUCAAAGGUAAAAGAUAUAUUUAUAGAAAUGAACUAUAUGUAUACAUACUGACAGAUUGAUUAAAUAUAUAUGGAUUAUAUAGUAACUUAUUGUCACAACGCAAGAGCAAUCAAUGUUUAACUUUAUUAAAUGUUACAAAGAGUUUUAAAUAUACAUAAAAAAUAAAAAUAAAAAUAAAUAAAUAUAUAUAUACAAGAAUACAUAUAUAUUACAGAUUAUAUUCUAUGUAUAAUUUGUAGGUACAAACUGAAAAUUAACAGAGAAAAUACUAGACGUACUUGUAGUUCUCGUCUACCCUUUAUUUUUUCCUAAAAAUUAGUCUUUCAAGGGGAAUAUGAUAGUAGUGCCAGCUAUAAAACGGAAUAAAUGGAGACAUUUUGCAGGAAAUGUUGGUGGAUUAUUAUUUUUUUUAAAUAUAAUUUUUAUAUUUAAAUUAUCAUAAAUUUUAAUUAUAAAUUUUAAUUUAAAUUAUCCUUAAAAACAAUGAACGAAAAGCUUCAUUUUCAAUAGAAUUCUUGUAUAAUUUCUUAAAAUUUCUUAAGCUGGCAUUUUACAAAAUUAUUUUCAAACUCCUUUGUUGUGUCUUAGCUUUAAAAAAUAAGAAAGAAAAAUUAAGAAACAAAAUAAAUGUGUGUGUCUCGCUCUCUCUCUAUCUAUCUGUCUCUAUUGUGUUUGAUAUUAAAUCAUAUAUUAAAAUGCAUAUUAUUACAAAAGCCAAAAAAACUGGAAGAAAGCUACAAAAGGCUAACAAAAAAAUGAAUCCACAACAAAAUUAAUAUUACUAAUUAUAACGAUUACUUACUGUAGCAUUAAGCAUAUAAAGAUUAAAUAAAGAAAACGAUUUCCUUAAAUGAA